UACGGGGGGGGCAAGCGGUUGUUCGGAAUUACUGGGCGUAAAGGGCGUGUAGGCGGUUAGUUUAAGUCUGGCGUGAAAGCUCUCGGCUAAACCGGGAGAGGUCGUUGGAUGACUGGCUGACUAGAGGACGGUAGAGGCGUGUGGAAUUCCGGGUGUAGUGGUGAAAUGCGUAGAGAUCCGGAGGAACACCAGUGGCGAAGGCGGGUCUCUGGACAGUUCCUGACACGUGAGGCACGAAGGGCCAGG
rnacentral:rRNA from 1 species